GUUCUCCUGCCGCCAGCUGUCUCUCCUGAGUCCUGAGCACCACAUCUCUGGACCGUCUGGAGCCUCCCCUCCCUUGGCUUACUGCUCCCACCACCCUCUCUCUCCACCUUGCAAGAGACACUCUCCCUCAUCCUGGGUCAUCACCCUCUUUAGAGGCGCCGCCUGGCCACGAGGCAUCAGAUGGAGUGCAGCCGGGAGCAAGAUUCUCAUAGCAAUUACAAAGAUUCACAAGAAAAUGUGCCCUCCACUACACAGCUGUAAUUUACAUGCUUUCAAACUUGAUAUGGAAUGACUGUGGUUUCCCCUGAAAGAAGCAUCACUGAUCUCUGCACAGGAGAAACAAGGUGGGCACUGAGGGAAGGGCUUUGAAACUGAGACGGGAGCCUGGCUCCCGCCCCAGCCUGGCUAGAGAUCUUGAAUGUGGGUUUCUGAACACAGCAUGGGGCUGUGACUGGGCGUCCCUAAGAAGAGUGGUCAGCAUGCCGUGCCCCAUCACCAGGGGGUUAGAUGUUGUGGGUCCAGCUGAGGCAGAGAGGAGCUGGGAAUAUAAGACAGGCCAGCUCCUGGCCUGGCAGCUGAGGCCUGCAGGCUGCCUGGCCAUGAGUUUGGGGGACCAUGUCAGGCCGGUAGGCCACCUUUCCUUACAGAGACACCCUGUGACAGUGGCCACUGCAACAGACCCUCAGAUGAGGUGCUGUGACUAGGACUUGACCUUUUGGACUUGGAAAGCAUCCAUUGGGCUGGGGGGCUCUUGGAGUUAUUUAGAAGGAGGACCCCGAGAUUCCCUUGAAAGAGAUGAUGUAAUCCCAAAUGCUAGAGAAUGUGACCUCAUUUUAUGCUCCAAGUAGCUGACAUUGGAAUUGGGUUAUAAAUGCAUUUUUGCCUUUCCUGAACAAAGCAGUUUUUGCUUCCCAGGGGUGUGUGUGUGUGUGUGUGUGUGUGUGUGUGUGUGUGUGUGUGUGUGUGUGUGUGUGAAGGCCCACUGGCCCAGAUGAGUGUUACAUGGCCACAUCUUUAAAGCAUAUUCCAGCAGGGUAAGCUUGUUCCCCAAGGCCAUGUGGGGUUGUGCAGUGACUGACUGGUCCUAUACAGCCUGGAGAGCGCUGAAGGAGAAAUAGCUGUUGGGGGGUCUUAUUUCAGGUCUGCUUUCUUCAGGCCAUGCCUUGUUUCUGUUGGGUUAGGGGAAGUUGCUGGGCAAAUGUGAGCAGGUGGCGCACCUGCCAAACACUGACAUGACCACACGUAAGUGUCAUGGCUUCCCUAGGCACGCGGAGGCCCUGAGCACACCCAGCCUGAGGGCCCAGGUGCAUCCUGAGAGUUGAGGACAGAUGUGGCAGGGGUAGGGUGUCAGGCCUGUUUUAAUCAGAGAAGCAACUGCCUGCCACAGUCGAUGUUAAGCUCCUGAAACAUCAUGCAAGCUACUUGCUCGGCCUUCUGACUCAGGAUUGAAAUAAAUGCUGCAAUCCUGCUACAAAGAAGUUCAUGUUCUGACUGUGCUGGAACAUUCCUCAUCCUUGCUGGCUGUGAUUGUUAAAGAUGCAGUGCAGAUGGAGGCUUGUCCUUUCCAUUUAAAGGAGAAAUAGGUGUCAGGAUUGGAGGUGAGCCCAUCUGAGGCAGGUGCCUUUAUGUCGCCCAGGUGUCCUGCACCCCUCCUCUUGUAGACUAUGCCUCUGGACGUGUGGCCUUGAGCGUGACCCCUGGAGUUUACCCCAGUGUUUGGCUAGGGGAUCCCAAGACGUACAGUGUCAAAGGACAGAUGGCAGGUCAGCCAGGGCCUGGGAUGUGGAAGCGCCCACCUCCAUUUUCAGGCUCUGUGUCUUUGGGCAAGUCAUCAACUUAUCUGAUCCCCAUUCUCCAUCCCUGUCAAAUAUGGAUUCAUGAUCCCUGCACUUUGCCCCUGUGAGCCUGUUGUGAGGUGCCCUGUGUGUGUGUGGAAGGGCUUCGUACACAUCAUGUUGUAUACCUGGUAUGGGCCAUCGGGCUCAGCACUGAGUAUACAGCCCGGAGAGUGAGGCAGCUGCAAGGAGCUGCUGCCACGUGGCCUUGCAGAACCCUUUCUGGUGCCACCACUGACGUCCACAUCAGGGAAUGAGUCAAGGCUCUGAGUCCCUGUCUGCAAUGCCACCUCCUUGAAAGUUCCCCUACUCCAACCAUGUUCAGAGUCCUCAAGGGAUGUGAUAUAUUC
rnacentral:lncRNA from 10 species